rnacentral:rRNA from 1 species
CCUACGGGUGGCUGCAGUGAGGAAUAUUGGUCAAUGGGCGCGAGCCUGAACCAGCCAAGUAGCGUGAAGGAUGACUGCCCUACGGGUUGUAAACUUCUUUUAUAAAGGAAUAAAGUGAGGCACGUGUGCCUUUUUGUAUGUACGUUAUGAAUAAGGAUCGGCUAACUCCGUGCCAGCAGCCGCGGUAAUACGGAGGAUCCGAGCGUUAUCCGGAUUGAUUGGGUUUAAAGGGAGCGUAGAGGGGUUGUUAAGUCAGUUGUGAAAGUUUGGGGCUCAACCGUAAAAUUGCAAUUGAUACUGGCAGCCUUGAGUACAGUAGAGGUAGGCGGAAUUCGUGGUGUAGCGGUGAAAUGCUUAGAUAUCACGAAGAACUCCGAUUGCGAAGGCAGCUUCCUAAACUGCCACUGACGUUGAUGCUCGAAAGUGUGGGUAUCAAACAGGAUUAGAUACCCUUGUAGUC